AUUGGCUCAUUAGUCCCUCAGUGAUUAUAUAGCAGCCCAUUUUCAGAUGGUCUUGUGUUGGUUUUUUGCUCCAGCAUUUCUAGUUAGUCUUCUUGUUCUGAUGUGUUUGCCUGUUUGUGACUGAUUUCCUGCUUUUGGACUUAGUAAUCUGCGUUUUCCUGCCUCGUUGUCGUGCUUUUGGGUUCUCCCUUGCCAAGGUGUCAAUUCUUAAAGUCAGAGAAGACUCACUUUCAUUUCUUUGCUUGUGAUAAAGAUCAUUUCUUGAUAUUUUGCUCAUUUCUUCAUGCUUUUGUCAGAGUUUGAAGGAAAAUGACGUUCCAGUCUGAAAGUGGCUACUUUGACGUUUUCUAACCAAACAAGAUGUGCUGCUGUUUUUACAGUGUAUGAUACAGUGGAUCUAUAAUCUGUGAUGAAGUCAAACUACAAACAGCUGAUGGACGCUCAUCAUGUGAGGCGCUCAGCUCUAGUCU